rnacentral:rRNA from 1 species
AUGAAUAUUUUCUGCUGGAACUGUCGUGGUGUGGGUAAAGCUGCGAUAGAUCGAGAGCUUCGUGAUUUCGCGAGGCAAUUUGCCCCUACCCUUUUUUGUAUUCUUGAAACUCAGAUGGAUAGUGCAAGGGUAGAAGCAUUAGCGAGUACACUUGGUUUUGAUAAUUCUUAUGCAGUUAGUAGUCAAGGUAGAAGUGGAGGAAUAGGACUGUUUUGGAACAAUUCAAUAAAAGUGGAAAUUCUUGGUUAUUCCGUUUACCACCUCGAUGUUUCUGUUGAGGAACAAGACGUAGAGAAGUGGAGAUUGACUUGUGUUUAUGGAGAGGCACAAACUAAUAUGAGGAAUGAAGGAAAUAUGCCCUAG